GUUGGAAACACGUUCUCAAGGCAUUAUACUAAAACGUGUGUUCAUAUGUGUAGGUUUUGAUGAAUGACAAACAAGCGCAAAUUGACAUAUGACGCAGCUCAAGUACAAGCGCACAAUUGAUAUAUAUAACGAGAUUCAAGCACAAGACUAAGUUUUAUAGUUUUACAUGAGUCGUUCUUAAUUGUGAUCUUGAUCCGACAACUUGACUCAUGACAUGGCUUCUCUCGUAAAAUUAUUUUUACAAAAUC
rnacentral:lncRNA from 1 species